rnacentral:rRNA from 1 species
GAUGAACGCUGGCGGCGUGCCUAAUACAUGCAAGUCGAGCGAACAGACGAGGAGCUUGCUCCUUCGACGUUAGCGGCGGACGGGUGAGUAACACGUAGGUAACCUACCUAUAAGACUGGGAUAACUUCGGGAAACCGGAGCUAAUACCGGAUAAUAUUUCGAACCGCAUGGUUCGAUAGUGAAAGAUGGCUUUGCUAUCACUUAUAGAUGGACCUGCGCCGUAUUAGCUAGUUGGUAAGGUAACGGCUUACCAAGGCAACGAUACGUAGCCGACCUGAGAGGGUGAUCGGCCACACUGGAACUGAGACACGGUCCAGACUCCUACGGGAGGCAGCAGAAGGGAACCUGCCGCAAUGGGCGAAAGCCUGACGGAGCAGCGCCGCGUGAGUGAUGAAGGUCUUCGGAGCGUAAAGCUCUGUUAUUAGGGAAGAACAAACGUGUAAGUAACUGUGCACGUCUUGACGGUACCUAAUCAGAAAGCCACGGCUAACUACGUG